UUUUAGUAGAGACAGGGUUUCACCAUGUUGGUCAGUCAGGCUGGUCUCAAACUCCUGACCUCAGCUGAUCCACCCACCUUGGCCUCCCAAAGUGUUGGGAUUACAGGUGUGAACCACCAUGCCCAGCCUAAAUGAAUAUAUUUUCGAUGUGAGGUUGGUUGAAUCCACAGAUGCAGAAAACAUGGAUACAGAGGACCGACUACACCUAACUCCAUAAAGGUCACUGGACAGCCUUUCUGCCAUUACUAGCCAUUAGUUCUUGGGCAAGUGACUUCACCUUUCUGAGUUUUCUCAGAUUUAACAAGUGGGAUAAUACCUACCCUCAGCUGGCGUGAAGGUUAAAUGAUAUGCUUUAGUUACAGUGGGAUACGCAGCAGGUGCCCCAAAAAUGCUAGUUCCUUUCUCAGUCCCUUUUUUAUUCUGAGGCCCUGAGGAAACAUCAGGAACUCGAGAGAACAACCUCUUUCAAGGCACAGAAGGCUGAAGCGCAUUAUCAAUAUUUUGUAUGUUCACAGCUCCAAGGACGGCUGCAGAAGUGCACUAAGCUGGCUGGGUUUCUGGGAGCCAAUGCAUCCAACUGGUAAAAAGUCGGUGGCCUCUGUGGGAGCGGUUUUGCCGAGAGGGCAGGGUCCUGCUCAGUGGCACUUGCCCUGGGUCAGAGCACUGUCUCCAGAGUACUGCCUGCCUGAACCUCCCACCCCGCUUCUCUGGCCUUUGGGGUCGCCUCCUGCAAGUCACGCCUCUGCCCUUCCUCCCUGCUGCUGCCCUGAUGCUGGUCCACUACCCACUUCCCUGAAUGGUGGACACCCCCCAGAAAAUCAGGACACUUCCCAGGGGAAAAAGUAUUGUUAGAGGAGCUCUAUUUUACAGGACUCACAGGCUGGGUUUUGUUGGUUAUGUAUUGUGGCAUUGGAGCAGGCAAUCACAGGGCCAUCUGUGUGAAUGGGGGGGGCGGGGGGUGUGGGGAGGAGGCUUGUGAAAGUGCCCGCCAAUGCGGGCGUCCUCACUGGAAGCCCGUUGGUCUUUCCGAUUCGUGGGGUGAGAUGGUUAGAAAAACCGCUCUUCCUUUGUUUAGAACUGAACUAGGUGCAUGGAAUGAAGGGCAAUGACCCUGUUAACAUCUUGUAGAACCAGAUACCAGUUGUAACUGUGCAAAUCAGGGCCUGCCCCAUCUCCUCAGCUGGAGCAGCCACUGGUGCUAUUGGUGCCGUGGUGGCAAGCUGAGCUCCUAAAGGGCACUGUUGGGGUCAGGGAAAGCAUAUAUAUUUAUAAAGGAGGAAAAAGACAGUUAUUAUGUGAUAAUCAUACCUGGUACCCUUUCCCCCUCAUUAUGUCUUUUUUUUUUUUUUUUUUGAGAAGGGGUUGUGAUUAUAGAAGUAACAUAUGUAGUUAUUAAAAUGUCAUACAGGCCAGGUGGAGUGGCUCACACCUGUAAUCCCAACACUUUGGGAGGCCGAAGAGGGUGGAUCACUUGAGGUCAGGAGUUCAAGACCAGCCUGGCCAACAUGGUGAAACCCCAUCUCUACUAAAAAUACAAAAAUUAGCCAGGCGUGGUGGCGCAUGCCUGUAAUCGCAACUACUCAGGAAGCUGAGGCACAAGAAAUGCUUGAACUUGGGAGGCAAAGGCUGCAGUGAGCUGAGAUCAAGCCACUGCACUCCAGCCUGGGCAACAGCGCAAGACUCUG
rnacentral:lncRNA from 10 species